rnacentral:rRNA from 1 species
UACGAAGGGGGCUAGCGUUGUUCGGAAUUACUGGGCGUAAAGGGCGCGUAGGCGGUACUUCAAGUCAGGCGUGAAAGCCCCGGGCUCAACCUGGGAACCGCGCUUGAGACUGGAGAACUAGAGUUCGGGAGAGGAUGGUGGAAUUCCCAGUGUAGAGGUGAAAUUCGUAGAUAUUGGGAAGAACACCGAUGGCGAAGGCAGCCAUCUGGACCGACACUGACGCUGAGGCGCGAAAGCGUGGGGAGCAAAAAGG